rnacentral:rRNA from 1 species
AUUGAACGCUAGCGGGAUGCUUUACACAUGCAAGUCGAACGGAGGGGCGGACGGGUGAGUAAUAUAGCGAAAAGCGCCCAGGAGCGGGGGAUAUAUACGCGACAGAGUGGCAAAUACCGCAUACUCUUGGAGCGGCCGAUAUCGGAUGAGCUAGUUGGUGGGGUAAGGGCUCACCAAGGCAACGAUCCGUAGCUGGUUUGAGAGGACGACCAGCCACACUGGGACUGAGACACGGCCCAGACUCCUACGGGAGGCAGCAGUGGGGAAUGUUGGACAAUGGGGGAAACCCUGAUCCAGCCAUCCCGCGUGUAUGAUGAAGGCCUUCGGGUUGUAAAGUACUUUUGGCAGAGAAGCGGUAUCUGCAGAAUAAGCACCGGCUAACUACGUGCCAGCAGCCGCGGUAAUUC